rnacentral:lncRNA from 1 species
AACAAGGUUACUUUUGAGCCCUCUUCCAAAUUAAAGCACAUGAUAAUCAUCAUUGUUCUGUUAUGGAUAUCUAUGAAUAUGCACUGUAAAAAAAAUAUAUCACAGACUAAGGGUGAGUUUGGAUGGGCGGUGCGUUUACCUGCGGUUAGUGUAAAAGCAGCUGUGGCGGUGAGAUUAGAUACUGUAGCGAUACUGUAGCGUGAGACAAAAAAUAAACUAAACGUACCGCACCGCAUCGAUUCGCCCAUCCAAACCUACCCUAAAGAUUCAUCAUGUACCCCACAUGUUGCAACAUGAAAGCAAUAAUAUAAUUGACAAUCAAAUCGCGAAAAUAAUUGUGAGAUGAAAG